rnacentral:rRNA from 1 species
GUGUCAGCAGCCGCGGUAAUACGGAGGGUGCAAACGUUGCUCGGAAUCAUUGGGCGUAAAGCGAACGUAGGCGGCUAUGUAAGUCGGGUGUGAAAGCCCUCGGCUCAACCGAGGAAGUGCAUUCGAAACUGCAUGGCUUGAGUGUCGGAGAGGAUAGCGGAAUUCCCGGUGUAGAGGUGAAAUUCGUAGAUAUCGGGAGGAACACCAGUGGCGAAGGCGGCUAUCUGGACGAACACUGACGCUGAAGUUCGAAAGCGUGGGGAGCAAACAGGAUUAGAAACCCUUGUAGUCC